UACAGAGGUCUCAAGCGUUGUUCGGAUUCAUUGGGCGUAAAGGGUGCGUAGGUGGCGGGGUAAGUCAGGUGUGAAAUCUCGGGGCUCAACCCCGAAACUGCACUUGAUACUGCCUUGCUCGAGUACUGGAGAGGAGAUUGGAAUUUACGGUGUAGCAGUGAAAUGCGUAGAUAUCGUAAGGAAGACCAGUGGCGAAGGCGAAUCUCUGGACAGUUACUGACACUGAUGAACGAAAGCCAGGGGAGCAAACGGG
rnacentral:rRNA from 1 species